UAAAAUGUUUUUGUAACUUCUUUUGAGAAGCUAAACUUUCUAUCUUGCAUGACAAACUACUUAAAUAAUUAUCAAACUAAUAAAACUCCAAACUAAUGUGUUAGAGAAACCGAAAGGUUAUUAACUACUAUAAAGGCCCGUGUGUAAAUCUGAACUUUUCCUUUCCAGCUGUUGGAGGCAAAUCAAAGAUGAAGAACAAGGAUGAAGGACUUUGACAGGUGAGCUUGACUGAAGGAAAAGAAGCUUCAAAUACCACAAGGCCAUAACUGAUGAAUUUUCAAACAAGACAAGCAUAUGUCUGAUUUUUACUGAUGCUAGUUAUUAAUCUGAUCAGCCCUUUAAACGUUGAAGUUCACAUGUACCUGCAGUUCAUGACUAACAACUGAUUUUCCUUCAGGCUGAUCUGCACUGUCCAAACUGAACUCUUCUAAUGAGCUGCGAGUGAGGUGAGAACAGACGUUAUUAAGACUGUAUUCAGUAGUUUGGGUAUAAACGUGAUGAUUACAAUUAAUGACAAGCAUAUGCCUGAUUUCAGUGAUGUCAUCUUUUAAUCUGAUCACCCUGAGUUGAGCUGGUUAUAAUGUUUUAUUCCCUAAGCAGCUGAUUUACACUGUUUCUCUUCUAGGUGAAGGCUUGUUGUGCAGGACGUCCUGGAGUCUCACGGUUCAUGACCGAGGCUUCACUCGUGCUGCUGAAGUCCAAGGUGCUGCUGAAGUCAAAGGUACCUGGCUCUUGGAGAUGCUGCCAACUUAACGACAGGUGCUUGUCCAGGGGAAGACCUGUUGGGGGUACCAACAGUCUGGAUGGAAACGUAAUGUUUAAAAGAAGUCUAGAGCCGGACUUGGUCCGUCUUGCUGCCUUCACUUGUUGAAUACAGGACGCCAUCAACAUCCAGCUGCCACCUUGGACUGCAACACGACUGCAUUUAAUUUGUUAAGAUGUCACUUUGGAUUUUCAAUUAAAGUUCAGUAAAUCUUUUAUGUGUAAUACUUGAGUACUAGUAUUGUAUGAAGUUAAUGUGUUAGCUCCUUAACUUUUAAUAACUCUAGGAAAGGGAACAG
rnacentral:lncRNA from 1 species